rnacentral:rRNA from 1 species
UACGUAGGGUGCGAGCGUUAUCCGGAUUUAUUGGGCGUAAAGCGUGCGUAGGCGGUUGAUUAAGUCUAAGAUCAAACCCUGGAGCUUAACUCCAGGUCGUCUUAGAAACUGAUCGGCUUGAGUAUAGUAGAGGCAAAUGGAAUUUCUAGUGUAGCGGUAAAAUGUGUAGAUAUUAGAAGGAACAUCAGUGGCGAAGGCGAUUUGCUGGGCUAUCACUGACGCUGAGGCACGAAAGCGUGGGGAGCGAAUAGG